rnacentral:rRNA from 1 species
UAUCCUACGGGGCGCAGCAGUGAGGAAUAUUGGUCAAUGGGCGGGAGCCUGAACCAGCCAAGUCGCGUGAGGGACGACGGUCCUAUGGAUUGUAAACCUCUUUUGUCGGGGAACAAAGGCGCCCACGGGUGGGCGGAUGAGUGUACCCGAAGAAAAAGCAUCGGCUAACUCCGUGCCAGCAGCCGCGGUAAUACGGAGGAUGCGAGCGUUAUCCGGAUUUAUUGGGUUUAAAGGGUGCGUAGGCGGACGGGCAAGUCAGCGGUAAAAAUGCGGGGCUCGACGCCG